GACGAACGCUGGCGGCGUGCUUAACACAUGCAAGUCGAGCGGCAGCGGGUUCCCGCGAGGGGAUGCCGGCGAGCGGCGGACGGGUGAGGAACACAUCGGAAUCUGCCUGGUUGUGGGGGAUAACGUAGGGAAACUUACGCUAAUACCGCAUGAGACCCUGAGUCGACGGACUGGGGGUGAAAGUGAGGGACCUUCGGGCCUCACGCGACCAGAUGAGCCGAUGUCGGAUUAGCUAGUUGGCGGGGUAACGGCCCGCCAAGGCGACGAUCCGUAGCUGGUCUGAGAGGAUGAUCAGCCACACUGGGACUGAGACACGGCCCA
rnacentral:rRNA from 1 species